rnacentral:rRNA from 1 species
UACGAAGGGGGCUAGCGUUGCUCGGAAUCACUGGGCGUAAAGCGCACGUAGGCGGAUUGCUAAGUCAGGGGUGAAAUCCCGGAGCUCAACUCCGGAACUGCCUUUGAUACUGGCGAUAUUGAGUCCGGGAGAGGUGAGUGGAACUGCGAGUGUAGAGGUGAAAUUCGUAGAUAUUCGCAAGAACACCAGUGGCGAAGGCGGCUCACUGGCCCGGUACUGACGCUGAGGUGCGAAAGCGUGGGGAGCAAACAGG